rnacentral:rRNA from 1 species
CAGCAGCCGCGGUAAUACAGAGGGUGCAAGCGUUAAUCGGAAUUACUGGGCGUAAAGCGCGCGUAGGUGGUUUGUUAAGUUGGAUGUGAAAUCCCCGGGCUCAACCUGGGAACUGCAUCCAAAACUGGCAAGCUAGAGUAUGGUAGAGGGUGGUGGAAUUUCCUGUGUAGCGGUGAAAUGCGUAGAUAUAGGAAGGAACACCAGUGGCGAAGGCGACCACCUGGACUGAUACUGACACUGAGGUGCGAAAGCGUGGGGAGCAAACAGGAUUAGAGACCCCAGUAGUCCCUGUCUCUUAUAC